CGCUAGCUACAGGCUUAACACAUGCAAGUCGAGGGGCAUCAGGAAGAAAGCUUGCUUUCUUUGCUGGCGACCGGCGCACGGGUGAGUAACACGUAUCCAACCUGCCCUUUACUCGGGGAUAGCCUUUCGAAAGAAAGAUUAAUACCCGAUAGCAUAAUGAUUCCGCAUGGUUUCAUUAUUAAAGGAUUCCGGUAAAGGAUGGGGAUGCGUUCCAUUAGGUUGUUGGUGAGGUAACGGCCCACCAAGCCUUCGAUGGAUAGGGGUUCUGAGAGGAAGGUCCCCCACAUUGGAACUGAGACACGGUCCAAACUCCUACGGGAGGCAGCAGUGAGGAAUAUUGGUCAAUGAGCGCUAGCCUGGACCAGCCAAGUAGCGUGAAGGAUGAAGGCUCUAUGGGUCGUAAACUUCUUUUAUAUAAGAAUAAAGUGCAGUAUGUAUACUGUUUUGUAUGUAUUAUAUGAAUAAGGAUCGGCUAACUCCGUGCCAGCAGCCGCGGUAAUACGGAGGAUCCGAGCGUUAUCCGGAUUUAUUGGGUUUAAAGGGAGCGUAGGUGGACUGGUAAGUCAGUUGUGAAAGUUUGCGGCUCAACCGUAAAAUUGCAGUUGAUACUGUCAGUCUUGAGUACAGUAGAGGUGGGCGGAAUUCGUGGUGUACCGGUGAAAUGCUUAGAUAUCACGAAGAACUCCGAUUGCGAAGGCAGCUCACUGGACUGCAACUGACACUGAUGCUCGAAAGUGUGGGUAUCAAACAGGAUUAGAUACCCUGGUAGUCCACACAGUAAACGAUGAAUACUCGCUGUUUGCGAUAUACAGUAAGCGGCCAAGCGAAAGCAUUAAGUAUUCCACCUGGGGAGUACGCCGGCAACGGUGAAACUCAAAGGAAUUGACGGGGGCCCACACAAGCGGAGGAACAUGUGGUUUAAUUCGAUGAUACGCGAGGAACCUUACCCGGGCUUAAAUUGCAGUGGAAUGAUGUGGAAACAUGUCAGUGAGCAAUCACCGCUGUGAAGGUGCUGCAUGGUUGUCGUCAGCUCGUGCCGUGAGGUGUCGGCUUAAGUGCCAUAACGAGCGCAACCCUUAUCUUUAGUUACUAACAGGUUAUGCUGAGGACUCUAGAGAGACUGCCGUCGUAAGAUGUGAGGAAGGUGGGGAUGACGUCAAAUCAGCACGGCCCUUACGUCCGGGGCUACACACGUGUUACAAUGGGGGGGUACAGAAGGCAGCUAGCGGGUGACCGUAUGCUAAUCCCAAAAUCCUCUCUCAGUUCGGAUCGAAGUCUGCAACCCGACUUCGUGAAGCUGGAUUCGCUAGUAAUCGCGCAUCAGCCACGGCGCGGUGAAUACGUUCCCGGGCCUUGUACACACCGCCCGUCAAGCCAUGGGAGCCGGGGGUACCUGAAGUACGUAACCGCAAGGAUCGUCCUAGGGUAAAACUG
rnacentral:rRNA from 1 species